UACUCUUGCUUCUCUUCAGAUCAAAUAAAUCUUUCACCUUUUACUAAAGAUUUCCAUGAAGAGCAACCCAGGAGCAAGAUGAUAUAGAUACCUUGCUGGAGGAUGAGAUU
ensembl:snRNA U5 U5 spliceosomal RNA